rnacentral:rRNA from 1 species
AGAGUUUGAUCAUGGCUCAGGACGAACGCUGGCGGCGUGCGUCAUACAUGCAAGUCGAGCGAGCUUGCCUAGAUGAUUUUAGUGCUUGCACUAAAUGAAACUAGAUACAAGCGAGCGGCGGACGGGUGAGUAACACGUGGGUAACCUACCCAAGAGACUGGGAUAACACCUGGAAACAGAUGCUAAUACCGGAUAACAACACUAGACGCAUGUCUAGAGUUUGAAAGAUGGUUCUGCUAUCACUCUUGGAUGGACCUGCGGUGCAUUAGCUAGUUGGUAAGGUAACGGCUUACCAAGGCAAUGAUGCAUAGCCGAGUUGAGAGACUGAUCGGCCACAUUGGGACUGAGACACGGCCCAAACUCCUACGGGAGGCAGCAGUAGGGAAUCUUCCACAAUGGACGAAAGUCUGAUGGAGCAACGCCGCGUGAGUGAAGAAGGGUUUCGGCUCGUAAAGCUCUGUUGGUAGUGAAGAAAGAUAGAGGUAGUAACUGGCCUUUAUUUGACGGUAAUUACUUAGAAAGUCACGGCUAACUACGUGCCAGCAGCCGCGGUAAUACGUAGGUGGCAAGCGUUGUCCGGAUUUAUUGGGCGUAAAGCGAGUGCAGGCGGUUCAAUAAGUCUGAUGUGAAAGCCUUCGGCUCAACCGGAGAAUUGCAUCAGAAACUGUUGCACUUGAGUGCAGAAGAGGAGAGUGGAACUCCAUGUGUAGCGGUGGAAUGCGUAGAUAUAUGGAAGAACACCAGUGGCGAAGGCGGCUCUCUGGUCUGCAACUGACGCUGAGGCUCGAAAGCAUGGGUAGCGAACAGGAUUAGAUACCCUGGUAGUCCAUGCCGUAAACGAUGAGUGCUAAGUGUUGGGAGGUUUCCGCCUCUCAGUGCUGCAGCU